AUUGAACGCUGGCGGCAUGCCUUACACAUGCAAGUCGAACGGCAGCACGGGUGCUUGCACCUGGUGGCGAGUGGCGAACGGGUGAGUAAUACAUCGGAACAUGUCCUGUAGUGGGGGAUAGCCCGGCGAAAGCCGGAUUAAUACCGCAUACGAUCUACGGAUGAAAGCGGGGGACCUUCGGGCCUCGCGCUAUAGGGUUGGCUGAUGGCUAAUUAGCUAUUUGGUGGGGUAAAGGCCUACCAAGGCGACGAUCAGUAGCUGGUCUGAGAGGACGACCAGCCACACUGGGACUAGGACACGGCCCAGACUCCUACGGAAGGCAGCAGUGGGGAAUUUUGGACAAUGGGCGAAAGCCUGAUCCAGCAAUGCCGCGUGUGUGAAGAAGGCCUUCGGGUUGUAAAGCACUUUUGUCCGGAAAGAAAUCCUUGGCCCUAAUACGGUCGGGGGAUGACGGUACCGGAAGAAUAAGCACCGGCUAACUACGUG
rnacentral:rRNA from 1 species